AAAGAAGUAAUAAAUACAUUUAGUUUCGACCUAAAAAUAAGGAAUAAGCCUCAUGUUUU
rnacentral:tRNA from 1 species